GGGGGAGUUUCAUCAUGUGGACCAGGCUGAUCUUGAAUGAACUCCUGGCCUCAAAUGAUCCACCCACCUCGGCCUCCCAAAGUGCUGGGAUUACAGGCGUGAGCCACUGUGCCCAGCCUACAAAACUCUUUUAAAUCAUAAUAAAUUGUCAACAUCUUUAUGUGUUACUAAAUAUUUUUCUACUACAUCAAAUUGUGUUAUUUCUAUUUUGAUUAGAAUACAAGAUUAUUGUGAAAGAAUUGCAAUCGUUAGUGAAGUGCACAAAAUUUAAGGCUCAAGUGUCCCCCUCCUUCCUGUCCCCCAGUAAUACUUCUAACUCUUCGGUGGAAAUCUGUCAGACAUUCUCCCGUGUACAUGAGAAACUGGUGUACAUGGUAGAGCUGUGUCAUAGUUUAUUUAGAUGAUUCUUUCACAUUGGGCAUUGAGGUUAGUAUACAGCUGUUUGAAGCCCACAGGCAGCCAGUGUGACCAGGGAAGCCUCCUGGUUCUGAGAGCAGAUCAUAGUUUCUCCCAGAAAAUCUCACUAGGGCAGCAUAAUGAGCAACGUCCUUAACAACAUGCUGGCCAUUAACACAGGAAUGAGUUCCACUGGGCUGUUUCCUUGUAAGGUCAUGUUUGCUUUUACUUUUAAGUUAAUACAAGUAAUAACAUUCAUUGCAGAAAAAUUUAAAAAUACAAAUAGGCAAAUGUAAGAAAAUGAAAAUCACACAUAAUAUGGAAAUAAGCCCUUGCGUGAUGUUUAUAAUGUCUGUUGCAUUAGUCUGUAUGUCUGUUGCUGGCCACACACAGUGUGCUAAGUGGCUAGUAUAUGUCUGUAGGUACAAUAUGAUCCCACUUGUACAGAUGGCCACCUCUGGCUCUUUAGGUUUGGUGAAUGGCCCAAAGUUUUUUGGCUGCAAGGGGGCAGAGGCUGCCAGAGGACCCAGGCCUCCAGCUUCCAAGUCUGCACUCUGAAGCACCCCUCAUUCUACACCCCUCAGUUUCGUUCACUGAACUGCCCGGAGGUUUUUCUCUUCCAGCGUAAGAUGUUGUAAGAUGUUAUCAUCUGCUUUUUUCACUUACAGAUAAAUUGUGAGCAUCUCCUGGUGGUGUUAAAUAACCCUCUUUAUGGAAUUCCAUUUUAUGGAUGUAUCACACUUUAUUUAAUUGUUGAAUAUGUGGGUUAUUCUAGGUAUUUUUUUAGUGUCAUAAACAAAGCUAUGCAAAACAUUUUUGUGGCUUAACCCUUGAGCAUGUUUCUAGUUAUUUCCACAGGACUGUUUCCCUAAUGGCCCUCGCUGACCCGUCAUACAAAGGGCAGGGAGGUCGGGGAGACUCUGGGUGAGGGGAGCACCCAAUAAGGUGUGCCCACCCGGUUCUUAGCUGGGUCAAGUCAGCUUGAGGGAGACAUCCUAAUCUAUGUAGAAGACAGCAGGAUGCCUUAUUCUUUAAACACCUCCUCUAGAAAUGGUCUCAGCUGAGUUCAGAGAACCACUGAAAGGCUGGGAGCUUAACUUGGCAAGUGAUACCCAUGUGGGCAUGUGAGUGCAGCCCCCGCGGCUCUGCAGAUAAUUGAAUUUGAAGAGGAACGAGACAAAACCAGUCUGCAAAGGUGAUGUCCUCAUCUCCAACAGAGGAAAGAGGAUGCAAUCCUUCCUCUGCAGAAAUGGACUCUGAAAUUGGAGCAACUCCCAGAGGUCCCAGAGCUCUACUCCCAGAAGUGCUCCAGGGGCUGUUCUAGCGGGUGGGGGUGGAACGGAGGGGCUUCACACAGUCUUCCUAGUAUGUGGGGCUUGGUGGAGUCUUGGACCACCAGUUAGCCAGGGUGGAAAAGGAGAGGAUACCAGGCAGGGGGAAAGAUGAGCACAGCCUGGAGAUGAGCGGCAGAGCCAGUGCUGCAGAGGACCUGAAAGCCUUAGUCCGCAGGGUAGAGGUUAGGGGCAGGGGUGCAGCAGGGGUGACAGGAGUCUGCAUUUUACCCCACAUGACAGGACCACCAUGAUGGCUCAGUGAGGAGACGUGUGACAAGGUUUGGGCCCUCUCUUGACGUUUUCUCCCUCCCUCCCAUAAUUUCUCAGACACCCAGGAGCCAGGCUGCGUGGGUGCUGGGAGAGAGGCAGGGAGGAGGACACGGGUCCUGCGCACUGGGAACGGGGUCUUCGGGGGCCCUGUGGGAGGGAAGGGAGGCUGAGUAGGGUUGCCAGUGAGGGAGACAGCUCCGUCCACUGGAGGCCCAAGGAGAAGGCACUCUCCGCUCCCUGAGACAGGCUGCCCAGUGCAGGCCACCCCUGUGGGAAAUGGUGCUCCCUCGACAGGACACAGGGUGGGUGGAGUUGAGGCAAGAGCAGGGACAGGGCUCCGCAGUGUCAUAUCCCAGCUCUGCCUCUCCUUGGCUGUGUGGUCGUGGCCUGGUUGCCUACCCUUUCUGAGUCAUAGUUUUGUUAUACAUAAAUGAAAACAGUCAUAAGAGGAGGAUUAGAUGAGCUUAUGCAUGAAAUGCCCGGGUGCAGCACCUAGUAAGUGCUCAAUAAACAUUAAUGAGUACUGUCUGAAGCUUUGCCUGCCAUGGAGGGAGGUGAGGUGGGUCCUUCGAGGAGCUGAGGUCUGCCCCCCUACCUCUCUUUGUGAGGCCCUUUGAAAGGUGGAGGGAGCAGCGGAGGCCGAGGUCCCGGAACUGAGGAAACCAGAGUCAACCGUAGAUGCCACCCCUAGCUUCUUUGGAGGUCAGCCACCUUGCUCCAAGAGCACCAAGGUGGCUACUGAUGGCGCCGGCAGCCCGUCCAGAGCAGCCGCUGCAGGAACAUCAGCUGCAAUGGGGGAGCCACCACCAGGGCUGCGCGUUCUGCAGAGCCAGAGGGGGCCAAGAACAGGUGGGAGCCCCGCCCCCUACCAAGUAGGCAGGAUGGGAGCCCCAUGGUCCCAGGCACAGCCGCUGCUCUGGACCAGGGCAUCGCUGUGUGCUCAGGGGCCUGGGAAGUCCCCCUCCCCCGACAGGCUCCGAUAUACCUGCUCCUGCUCCCUGGCCUCUCCCUGCUCCUGGCACUGCUCCAAUUUUGGAGCAAAGCUGUGGCUGAGCCCAGGUGCUGGUCACAAUCCAGCCAGGUGUGCACGCACUCGAGGUAGCACUGACACACCGGCACCCCCACCGCCUUGACCUCCUCUGGGCACCGACGAGCAUGGGAGGAAGGCCAGGGAUGACUGAGGGCAGCUCAGCACUGGCCUGCCGGCACUCCUUGCCAUGAACAGCCUGGACACCAUGAACAGCAUGUUGAUGGCAGAGGCAGACAGGUCCCUGGGCAGAAAGGGGCAGGUCCCUGGUGAAACCCCACUUUCAAGCCAGGGAUGGCCUGAAGCCUGGGUGCUGGGCUGCCUGUUCUGGGUGAAGUCCACAGCCCAGCCCAGAAUAGCUUCUGGUGCUUUUUCCAGGCCACCUAUGGCUGCCCAUGGAUGAAUCAGCAGCACUUUCUCCCUUCUAAGCCCAUAGAAACCCAGACCCAGCCAGACCACACAGUCUGGACUACCAGCUGCGGGUCUCCCUCCACUGCGAGAGGGACACUUGUCAGGAUGACCUGUCUCCGGGAAGGAGUUACCCACUGUGGGUCUGCUCUCCGCUGAGACCCGGACACCUGUCAGGAUGACCUGUCUACGGGAAGGAGCUGCCCACUGUGGGUCUGCUCUCCCGAGCCGCCACUUCUAAAGAGGUUUAGGAGCAAUAGCGACAGGUUUCUUUUAUGCUUCCCUCCUUUCCAAGAUGGUAGUGUGGGUCUACUUUCAUCCCAGUUUAAAUUCCAGCUUUUGACCUUGAGUUUCUGAUUCAUCUUUGUAUUUUGCAUACUUGGCGUGGAGUAGGUGUCCAAUAAAUGUUAAUUGUCACAUCUUUUUA